UUCAGUUUGCGUUGGCCGUCAUGGAUUCCAUGGAUUUUCUUUUCUCUUCUUUUGUCCAGCAUCUGUGAAGACAUCUGCCGCUGUCACCUGACGGAGUUAUUUCAGACAUGGCUCAUUAUUCUGGGUUUCACUGGAGUGAGGCCGGCUUGAGCUGGAGGUGACCCUGGCUUUGUUUAAGAGGAGAAAUGUAAUUACUGUUGCUGUAACAACAACGCACAGUGUCCAAUCAGGCGGUUGGGCUUGGUGGAGAUCGAAUGUCACAAGGUCACCUAGCCUUCCUUCUCCGCUUUCCGGAGACGUGUCGCAGUAACGGCUGUGAAAAGGAAUAAUUACGCUGCAUAAACACUGGCCUGACGGAAAAGGAGGAAAAGCUGGAGACGAGGGGCGGCUGAACCGGUGGAAAUAACUCAAAUCUUCACUAAGGCAAAAAAAAACCCCACAACAUAACAAACUCAUU